CCCCACUCCGGUCCAACAACAAUAUAAAAUGAUACCGUAAUGCACCUGUUCUUUGUCUUUGGAUCUUUUGAAUAAAUGGAUCAAUACAUGAUGAAUCACAAUGAUCGCAAGCAGAGGACCGUGAGAGUUAUUGAGCAGCAGAUGAACCAGUCCAAAAAUCGGACACGUUAACGGAGUACUGAACUAGGCCCUCUCGGAUGCCAUUUGUUUCACUACGAAUCCUUUCAGCUGCACACCCCUCUUCCCCAGCGAGAUAACGGCUAAUAAAACGCUUGAGGUGGCGUUUUGAGGACAUGGCAUUUAAGAUACUUUGGUCGUAAUAGCAGUCAACCAGGAUGCAGAACAAUCCCACACAAUCAAUGCAGCUGAACCAACCCAAGCCCUUACAAACCAUCAAAACCUGUUACAGAGUCCCGGGGAUGACCUGACAUUAUCCCAGCUAUUCUCGGAAACCUUUCAUACACCUGCCACAUCCAGAAGCAACACGGAGGACAUGGUCUCCCUUCAGCGUCAGCUUUUGGAGGAAGUUAAAAUGCUGAGGCAUACUCCGGAGCAACUCCUGCAGGUGGAGAGGGAAAAGCUGCUCGUCGAGAGGGAGAAGCUUCGCCUUGCCCAAGCCAAGUUUGAUUUUAAAAAAAAUGAAUGUUGAACCUAGAAUAAAAUAGCAAUCACUCAGAGG
ensembl:lncRNA